rnacentral:sRNA from 12 species
GAUCGGCGUACAGCACCGGGGACGUGUCCCCAAUGCGGUGCCGAGGGGAGCAAGCCACAGCAACAGCACCCAUUAGGGUGGAAAGCUGAAAAAUCACGCGUCGGGUAGAGUUUGGUAGGUCAUUACUUGAUUCGAAGAAGUCAGACCCG